rnacentral:rRNA from 1 species
UACGGAGGGGGCUAGCGUUGUUCGGAAUUACUGGGCGUAAAGCGCACGUAGGCGGCUUUGUAAGUUAGAGGUGAAAGCCCAGGGCUUAACCCUGGAAUUGCCUUUAAGACUGCAUCGCUUUGAAUUGUGGAGAGGUGAGUGGAAUUCCGAGUGUAGAGGUGAAAUUCGUAGAUAUUCGGAAGAACACCAGUGGCGAAGGCGACUCACUGGACACAUAUUGACGCUGAGGUGCGAAAGCGUGGGAGCAACAGGGAUUAAGAU